rnacentral:lncRNA from 1 species
GCAGUAAACUUGCAUUAAAAAAGGAGUAAACACAAGUGACACAAUAAAAUGUACUUAAUACAUGAACUUGUGAACAUUGUCUACAGGAGAAGUUAAUAGAAAUAGUGGUCAAUUACAUCAUAUAAUUUGGUUCUAUACUCUUUUGUGUAUAUAUCCUGAAUGAUACCCCUUUGUGAUCAACUCUUUGUCCUCUGAAUCGAAUGGCACAGCUACUGCCCCUUGUGGAAAAAGAAAGGGUUCUGUAAUACCCAUAAAUGUAAAAGGAAAACAUCAUGUGAUGCAUCUCAACCUGCGCAAAACAAUGUAAAAACCAUACAUGCUAUCUACAUACCCUCAUUGUCUAGCAAAGCAUAAGUAGCUGAGGGACCCUAUACAAAAGAAUUGACAAUUAGUAAGAAAGAAGCAUGCCACUUUACAUGGAACAAAAAAAAUGAUUAUUAUGGUGAGCGCAGAAUAACAUGAAGUUGUCAUGUGUAGCCAACAACUGCAGCUAUCUGUAUAGGCUACUGCUACUUUACAAUCUAUAUUGACAGGAAUAUUUGUGAAGUCAUUCAAAUCUAUCUUAAGUGAAAACAUACUUAUAAGGCAUACUUAAUUCUCUCCGUUGUUCAUUUUCCUUUUGAUGUCACUUUAUUCAUAUGGCAAGUAUGAGUUUAAUCAUCAGUAGACAGAAACUUUGUGUGAAUCAAAAUACCAAGUUUAGUAUGGAAACUAUAGUUUCUCCAUAUGUCAUUAUUUCAAGACAAAGCAUGUCAUUCACACCCACUUAGAAUCAUAAUUUCCAGUAAACUUUCCAUACAGCAAUAUCAAUAAAAAGGCUUUUGUUCUUUACCUUUAAUAGAAGAGGCAACUGGCUGAGGCUGCCCUAGCAAGAGGUCAAACUGUCGAUUGCAGAGCUGAAGCGCUAUUGAAAGUAAUUACAUCAC